UUGAGAGCCAAUGAGACUGUGGUGGGAUGGUGUUCCACCCUCCCAACUACACACACCAGGUGUAGCGACUGAUUGGUGGGCGGGGCAGAUAGCUUUAAAGCUGAGCAGUCCGCUGCGAGGUGCGUGUGCCUUGUUUCCUCACUGUAUGUUGGCUGCCCAAGUGGCUGGUGUGCUCGAUCCACUCAUCCAAAAUACGUUGCGCAGCUGGCGUUGGCGGCUGCAGUUGGAGGUUGGUGCGGCGAGCGGCUUCCAUCCAGCCCUCGCCUGCUGAUCCGCUCCCUCCCUGGUCGGCUGUGUCACCACAUCUGGGAUUCUUCCAGAGUUGCAGCGCUUGGACGCUCCUGCUGUCUUGUCUUGCCGGUUUUGUUUGGGCCGCUCUCGACGGAGCCUGCUGACGCUUGGGCUGGCGGAACGAGCGGGGCACGACUCCUCUGGCCCCCCGUGAAAAGACAUUAGAAGUCGGACAAUGACAAUUUGUCCCAUCGUUUGCAGUGGUUGUGUUCUUUUCUUUGCCGUUUGUUUGUUUAUUAUUUAAAUUACUAAUUUGUUUGCUUUCCUUUGUUUGAUUUACUAAUUUGUUUUCUUUUGCAUUGCAUGUUUUGUUUGUUCAUUCAUUUUGUUGGGAAUAACUUAAAUUGUCCUUAUUUUUGAUGCCUUUUCCUUCUAGGGGCUGAGUAGUGGGCCUGAGGCCAUGUUUUAAAGGAAAAAUGUUUUAAUGGAAUUUGUUAAUAAAUCAUUGUAGACUACUCCGUGCUCUGGUGCGUCUUGUGUAAAAAGAUCAACCCCCUCUGCUGGUCACAUUUGGCGCUGUGAGCAGGAUGCACCAUUGAACACGGACUUGUCUUUGUUUUUUUUUUUGUGUGUGUGUUUAGGGUCUUAGCUGUGUUUUUAUUCAUGGUGUUGUAAGACAAGACAGCAGUAGCUAUCCAAGGAAGACUUAACUGUGGGUUCAGGAUUUAUUUUCAUUGUUUUGUUUUUUUUCUCGUGUUUCCUUUUGGUAGUCUUCCCCUGCAGGUAUGGAGGAGGUGGCAGGCCGCCCGGUGGAUGGAGUGGGUCAGCAGAAUGUGACGGUUGGAGGUUCGCUGGGCGCCGCUCCUUCCCCAGCUGUGGCUGGUGGUGUCAUGCCUGCUGGCGCUGUAGUUGCUGAGCGGUUGGUGGUUGUGCCCAGGG